rnacentral:rRNA from 1 species
UGCUCCCGGAGCCGAGGCCAGUCGCAGAUACCAGCUGGCUGCAACUGUUUAAUAAAAACACAGCACUGUGCAAACACGAAAGUGGACGUAUACGGUGUGACGCCUGCCCGGUGCUGGAAGGUUAAUUGAUGGGGUUAGCGGCAACGCGAAGCUCUUGAUCGAAGCCCCAGUAAACGGCGGCCGUAACUAUAACGGUCCUAAGGUAGCGAAAUUCCUUGUCGGGUAAGUUCCGACCUGCACGAAUGGCGUAAUGAUGGCCAGGCUGUCUCCACCCGAGACUCAGUGAAAUUGAACUCGCUGUGAAGAUGCAGUGUACCCGCGGCAAGACGGAAAGACCCCGUGAACCUUUACUAUAGCUUGACACUGAACCUUGAGCCUUGAUGUGUAGGAUAGGUGGGAGGCUUUGAAGUGUGGACGCCAGUCUGCAUGGAGCCAUCCUUGAAAUACCACCCUUGAAUGUUUGAUGUUCUAACGUAGGCCCGUUAUCCGGGUUGCGGACAGUGUCUGGUGGGUAGUUUGACUGGGGCGGUCUCCUCCCAAAGCGUAACGGAGGAGCACGAAGGUUAGCUAAUCACGGUCGGACAUCGUGAGGUUAGUGCAAAGGCAUAAGCUAGCUUGACUGCGAGAGUGACGGCUCGAGCAGGUACGAAAGUAGGUCUUAGUGAUCCGGUGGUUCUGAAUGGAAGGGCCAUCGCUCAACGGAUAAAAGGUACUCCGGGGAUAACAGGCUGAUACCGCCCAAGAGUUCAUAUCGACGGCGGUGUUUGGCACCUCGAUGUCGGCUCAUCACAUCCUGGGGCUGAAGUAGGUCCCAAGGGUACGGCUGUUCGCCGUUUAAAGUGGUACGCGAGCUGGGUUUAGAACGUCGUGAGACAGUUCGGUCCCUAUCUGCCGUGGGCGUUGGAAGAUUGAAAGGGGCUGCUCCUAGUACGAGAGGACCGGAGUGGACGCACCACUGGUGUUCGGGUUGUCAUGCCAAUGGCACUGCCCGGUAGCUAAGUGCGGAAGAGAUAACCGCUGAAAGCAUCUAAGCGGGAAACUUGCCUUGAGAUGAGUCUUCCCUUGUCCCUUGAGGACACUGAAGGAGCGUUCGAGACGAGGACGUGGAUAGGCUGGGUGUGUAAGCGUUGCGAGACGUUGAGCUAACCAGUACUAAUGAACCGUGAGGCUUAACCUG